rnacentral:rRNA from 1 species
GAUUCCCUUAGUAACGGCGAGCGAAAAGGGAAUGGUCCAGCGCCAAGUCUUGACAUUUAGGUGUUCAAGAGAUGCGGCGUUAAUGUGUUGGCGCAUCGUACGUUGUUCCAUGUUUCAAGUUCCCUUGACUGGGACAUCCAGAGUGGGUGCCAGGCCCAUAGAGACAAGGAGCUGACGGACGCAGGCCAAUGCAUUCUAGAGUCAGGUUGCUUGAGAGUGCAGCUUAAAGUCGGUGGUAAACUCCAUCCAAGACUAAAUAUGACAGCGAGACCGAUAGCAAACAAGUACCGUGAGGGAAAGUUGCAAAGCACUUUGAAGAGAGAGUUCAACAGUACGUGAAACCACUGGGAGGCAAACAGAUGGAACCACGAAGUGUGCGCCCUGGUCGAUUCAAUCAAUGCCAUUGGUUAGUGAUGUUUAGCCGGGAUCUUUUCGGAGAUUGGCUAAAUGUUAUUCAGAUUGAUGACAUUGAUGCAUUUCGUGCUGGGGAUGCUAAGCCACGUUCGACUAGAUGGUUGGGACGGCCGUAGGACAGGGUUCAAGAAAGGUGCCCGUCAAGUGCUUGCAUUUGGCGGCGUUAUAGUCUUGGACYGGCACCGUCGCCUAACGUACUGGUCGAUAAAAUUGCUCCGAUCGGAGUUGAACUACGUUUGCCUGUGAUUGUUAGUCGUUGUUUAGAGGCGUUCUUUGCGUAUCUUCGGAUGCGAAAAGCCGUUUCGACAAUGGCGGCUAAUAGUUGYUUGCGUUACGURGUGGAACUGUGGCGCGAGUAGGUCGGUGUCCAUCUGACCCGUCUUGAAACACGGACCAAGGAGCCUAUCAUAUACGCGAGUCGCUCGGUCUUGUUUAGGCCUGGGAGGCGAAAUGAAAGUAAAGUUACGAGGCCUUCGGGUCGCAGUAACGGCCCGCCUACUCCGUUUAUUGGCGGUCGGGCGGAGCUGGAGCGUAUACGAUGGUACCCGAAAGAUGGUGAACUAUGCCUGGGCAAGACGAAGCCAGAGGAAACUCUGGUGGAGGUCUGUAGCGAUUCUGACGUGCAAAUCGAUCGUCAGACCUGGGUAUAGGGGCGAAAGACUAAUCGAACCAUCUAGUAGCUGGUUCCCUCCGAAGUUUCCCUCAGGAUAGCAGGCGCUUGUUUGGAUAGUCUCAUCCGGUAAAGCUAAUGAUUAGAGGUCUUGGGGUUGAAACGACCUCAACCUAUUCUCAAACUUUAAAUGGGUGAGAUGGUCGACUUUCUUGAUUGAAGCCGACCAUUCGGAUAGAAGUGCCUAGUGGGCCAUUUUUGGUAAGCAGAACUGGCGCUGUGGGAUGAACCAAACGUCAAGAUAAGGCAUCAAAUGCAUACGCUCAUCAGACCCCAUAAAAGGUGUUGGUUGCUAUAGACAGCAGGACGGUGGCCAUGGAAGUCGGAAUCC